AUUGAACGCUAGCGGGAUGCUUAACACAUGCAAGUCGAACGAGUGGCGGACGGGUGAGUAAUAUAUCGGAACGUGCCCAGUAGAGGGGGAUAACUACUAGAAAGAGUGGCUAAUACCGCAUAAGAGUGGUGCGGGCGAUAUCGGAUGAGCUAGUUGGUGGGGUAAAGGCUCACCAAGGCAACGAUCCGUAGCAGGUUUGAGAGGACGACCGGCCACACUGGGACUGAGACACGGCCCAGACUCCUACGGGAGGCAGCAGUGGGGAAUUUUGGACAAUGGGGGAAACCCUGAUCCAGCCAUCCCGCGUGUAUGAGAAGGCCUUCGGGUUGUAAAGUUCUUUUGGCAGAGAAGCGGUAUCUGCAGAAUAAGCACCGGCUAACUACGUGCCAGCAGCCGCGGUAAUUC
rnacentral:rRNA from 1 species